rnacentral:miRNA from 1 species
UAAGUGCUUCCAUGUUUUAGUGC